UACGUAGGGCGCAAGCGUUGUCCGGAAUUAUUGGGCGUAAAGAGCUCGUAGGCGGCUUGUCACGUCGGGUGUGAAAGCUCCUGGCUUAACCGGGAGUGGUCGGUGGAAACUGCCAAUCUGGAGGACGGUAGAGGUAGGUAGAAUUCCCGGUGUAGUGGUGAAAUGCGUAGAGAUCGGGAGGAAUACCUGUGGCGAAGGCGGCCUACUGGGCCGGACCUGACGCUGAGACGCGAAGGCGUGGGGAGCGAACGGG
rnacentral:rRNA from 1 species